rnacentral:rRNA from 1 species
GAUGAACGCUGGCGGCGUGCCUAAUACAUGCAAGUCGAGCGAACGGACGAGAAGCUUGCUUUUCUGAUGUUAGCGGCGGACGGGUGAGUAACACGUGGAUAACCUACCUAUAAGACUGGGAUAACUUCGGGAAACCGGAGCUAAUACCGGAUAAUAUUUUGAACCGCAUGGUUCAAAAGUGAAAGACGGUCUUGCUGUCACUUAUAGAUGGAUCCGCGCUGCAUUAGCUAGUUGGUAAGGUAACGGCUUACCAAGGCAACGAUGCAUAGCCGACCUGAGAGGGUGAUCGGCCACACUGGAACUGAGACACGGUCCAGACUCCUACGGGAGGCAGCAGUAGGGAAUCUUCCGCAAUGGGCGAAAGCCUGACGGAGCAACGCCGCGUGAGUGAUGAAGGGCUUCGGAUCGUAAAACUCUGUUAUUAGGGAAGAACAUAUGUGUAAGUAACUGGGCACAUCUUGACGGUACCUAAUCAGAAAGCCACGGCUAACUACGUGC